GUAGUGUGACUGGCGGAAGUGGGAGUACCCACAGGGAGCACUACAUUAGUUUGAAAGCCGACCGCCUGGGCAACC
rnacentral:ncRNA from 1 species